rnacentral:rRNA from 1 species
UCCCAGACUCCUACGGGAGGCAGCAGUGGGGGAUAUUGCACAAUGGGGAGAACCCUGAUGCAGCGACGCCGCGUGGGUGAAGGAGCGUUUCGGCGCGUAAAGCCCUAUCGGCAGGGAAGAAGGAGGACGGUACCUGACUAAGAAGCCCCGGCUAACUACGUGCCAGCAGCCGCGGUAAUACGUAGGGGGCAAGCGUUAUCCGGAUUUACUGGGUGUAAAGGGGGCGCAGACGGCAGCGCAAGCCAGGAGUGAAAGCCCGGGGCCCAACCCCGGGACUGCUCUUGGAACUGCGCGGCUGGAGUGCAGGAGGGGCAGGCGGAAUUCCUGGUGUAGCGGUGAAAUGCGUAGAUAUCACGAAGAACUCCGAUUGCGAAGGCAGCUCACUGGACUGCAACUGACACUGAGGCUCGAAAGUGUGGGUAUCAAACAGGAUUAGAUACCCGAGUA